UUAUUUUUAGUGGAUUGAAACUGUAGAGUAGGGAAACAACAUUAACGAAGGGUCUCUGUCUCUCUCUUUCUUCUCUUGUGAAAACUUUUUCUUCUUCUGUUGAGUUGCCAAAGGCGACAGAGAUGUGAUUUUGACUUUUCUUUGAUUUCGUCGGAGCUUUGGAGUUAUGAUCGGAGAAUUUUCAAGCGUAGGGCGCCGUUAUCAAUAUCUCCAUUGUCACUGGUGAAGAUCGAUUGAAUUGGUCUCAAAACGGCCGAUAUUCAAGCUCGAGAAUCUUUUUUUUUGUUCUCAAGAUCGGAGAAUUAGCUAGAAUGAAGCUCCAAAUUCGUUUUGAAGGUAUGAAUCUCGGUCAAGGCUUAGUAGAUGUUGAAAAUUAGGGGUUUUUAUAUGUAUGCAAAAUUAGGCUUAUUUCAAUCAAUAGGCAGUUUUUGUCUAUGUUCUUAGCUAUGUUUGAAGAUUAAUAUAGGCAUAGGUUGUUUGUUUUUGCUCAAAUUGAAACGAGGCUUGGGGUUUUAUGCGUACAGAUUGGUAGAUUGGAUUGUUUCGGAACUGGAAGAGUAGCACCUGUUUACAUGUUAAGAGAGAGCUGAAAGAUGUGGCUAGAAGACGCUUGGAGCUUCACAACUCAGUCUUUGCCUGAGACCAAUCUCUCACCAUUAAAAUAAUUGAAAAAAUAUAAAGAGAGAGGAAAGAGAGAUGAUCGGUUCUCUAAAUAGAACGUUGCCUACCCUCUAAAGAACCUCUCUCGCCACAUGUUUUAAUUUUAUUGGUUCAUCUCUAUUUACGUAUUAAAAUUCAAUUACAUAAUAAAACUAAAAUAAAAAAUAAUAUAUUUUAAUUGUUGAGAUACAUUUGGUGAGAUACCCACCGAUAGAUGAACUAAGGGC
rnacentral:lncRNA from 1 species